GCUCUUCUUAUCACAUAUCCCAACUGCAGAGAAAAAAAAAGGAAGCAUAGACUGCACAGCCCACCACUGGGAUCUGGACUUCCAAACCCUGUCAGUUUUGUGGGUGAAGAUCAGUUUUGAAGCACAAAGUGUUGAAGACACCAUGGGACCCCAAGCAGAGUCAUUGAUGUAGCACUCAAAUUUGCUGACUGCUGCCUUUGAAAGGCCAUGUGAAGCUGCUCCUAGGGGUCUGAUACAAUGCAGCUCCUGUGUCAGGCCUGACAGCCACACAGGGAUUAUUCAGAUACUGUGGAGCAUUUCAAGUGCUGCCUAAAUGCAUUUGAUUGCCCAAACUGCAGUCUUAGCCUGCAAGUUCAAUCCUACCUGAGGAGACGAGCAUAAGUACCCUUCCAAAAGUGACCCUGCAAAGGACCUGCUGCUUGUGCUUGUAUCACUCAUUCCCCAUGACAGUCCCACCACAGUGACAACCCCGUGUGGCAAGGUUGGAGACAGUCAGAAAUAUCACUGACUCUGAAAGCAACAUGCAGAUUGCAGAUUUUUGGCCCUCACGAGAGCUGCACAUGAGAGGGAUCAAGUCACAUCCCAAUACCCAAGCAACUGUUGUGGGAAUGCGUGGCACUGGCUGCUGGGCAAGCAGGGGCAGCAG